UCUUCCCAGACUGGGCAGAGCUCAAGGUCAGCGUCAGCAGAUCUAACCCUAAAAAUAGGUUUGUGGAUGCCAGUGGAGGUGGCCAGGAGUGCGGCUGCCACACGCCCCACAGACCAGCACCUCCUGACCCAGCCAGGCCCCAGCACACACAGGAAGGAAAGAAAAUCCCGUGGCUCCAAAAUGACAUCCCGAGAACCAAAGACAAGCCUCCAAAAUGCCUACCCAUCUGCCAAGAGGCUGCAGCCGAAGGGGGAGGGGGACGUGGAAGAGGAGGAGUACUGCACCCCAGGAGCCUUUGAGCUGGAGCGUCUCUUCUGGAAGGGCAGUCCUCAGUACACCCACGUCAACGAGGUCUGGCCCCAGCUCUACAUCGGUGACGAUCAGCAGGAGGGGAAAUAUCCUGUCUACUGUCAAAGUGAUUGCAAAUUCCCAGGCAGGACAGCCUCCCAUAGGCUUGGCUGAAGCAGGAAAAUUGAGAAAUCGCUCUUCUCCCUCCCCACGUCAGCAUCCCUGCGAAAAGAAGAAAAAUUCUCCAUCAUCUCCUUACCCAGGGAGAGCCACCGAUAGAUAACAUUUUGUUGUUCCUCUUUUUACUGCCUUUUUCCCCUUGAAUUUCUUUUUUAACCUUUCAAAGAAACUAGAGUGUUGCAUCAUUCAGUUUACAAGAAUCUUGUAAGGAAAGUCGGUUCUGUUUAACAAAGAGAGAAAACUGCCGGUCCCAGAGGUUCCGCUGUUUGAGCUCGAGCAGCAGUGGGUAAGCUUACCCGCUGCACCUGGCAGCCCGGUGCGUUAGGAGGAGCCUCAAAGGCAAACAGCUUCAUCGGCAGCAAGUAACAAGAACACCCAAGAAACUAGAAAGCCAAGGAAUUUCCCUUCCAUAUCAGGUGAACUGACGGAGAUCAAAAGCUAGAAAUGUGUCCACUGUUUUGAAAUCCACCAGCAAGGAGUAGGUAUGGUCAGGACUCCGAAGGAGAAGGUCCCCAUCAUGCCCAUGAAAUGACACGAGGCCAUAAAUGUCAGACACAUCCAAAUGAAAAGGGUGCCAGAUUACGGUGGGGGGCACGAAAUCAGUGGGUUCUCCCAGACCCAGGGGGGUGGAGAACCAUCUAAUCAUCUGCUGCCUUUCUUCAGCGCCCACUGCAGAAUCCUGGCAACAUGGGAGCAGCCGGUUUCCCACCACAAGGGAGCUGGGGGAGGGCUUGUGUGGAUGUAGGCAUGAGUGUCCCUCCUCCCCUGGGCUCAAGAACACCUGUGGAAAACGGGCUUUCGGGCAGAUAGCGAGGCCUUUGGGCCUGGAUUCAGGAGGGCACCAGGCGGUCUGGAGAAGUGGACUGUCAGGAGUGCUGCCCAAGGAGACAGCCCCACUGAGAGUGCUCUUAUUCCCAAUUCCUCAAGAGGGGUUUAAACAAGCUUCCCGGAGGAACUUCAGGGGACCAGAAGGAGGCUGGGCCAGGCCAGAUAAGGAGGAAGGGAGGGGAAGUCUCUGAAUGAGGAAACUGGUCCCUGCCAGAAGGAAGUCAUCUCCCUGGCCCUCCAAUCUAGAGGAAGAAUCCAGAGGCAGGACAGAGGUUCGCGGGGAGAGGAGAUAAAGGGAAUUGGGUCAAAAACAGAGAUAUGAAAAAUACAAAAACAAAAACAAAAAACCCCCAGAGAUAUGGCAAUGUUCUUCAAAAGUAAACUGCACGAGUCCAGUAAAUGUGUGAACCUGUCCAUGUGAGAAAAUGUCCAACCUCAUUGCUAAAAGAAAUGGAAAUAUGACAUCUUUUUUUUUUUUGCCUAUGAAAUUAGCAAAGAAUAAAAAUCAGGCUGUAAAAUGAGCAAGCUUUCUGGAGGAUAAUUUAGUAACACAUAUCAAAUGUGUUUAAAAAAAGCUCAUACCCAUUGACCCAGCAAUUCCACUUAAAAAGAAAUCUCUCCUAAGGACAUAAUUAAGAGAUGUGCCCAAAGAAAUACAGCAAAGUUGUUCAUUUAUAGUGUUUCUUAUAAUACCCGCCACUACCCCUUCAGGAGAGAGAUAAAGAUAGAGAUAGAGCAAGAGCAAGAGGGAGAGGGAGAGAGAGAGGGAAAAAAUGUCCAAAAAUAGGAGCUGGGUGAGGUAAAAUUGAGAUUUCCCUAUAGACUGGGACAGCAUGCAGCUAUUAAAGGCUAUGUGUUGACAGAGGAAGAUGUUUACAAUGUAAUACCAUGUCAAAGUUUUUGAAACUUACAUAUGGUGUCAUACCACCAAACGAAUCUUUAUAUAAAAUAUAUAAAUCUACACAUAGAGAAGUAACUGGAGAAUCUUACAUCAAAAAGCAAAUAGACUUCAUCUCUAGGGCAGGUUAGAAAUACAGGUGAUGUGUGUGUGUGUGUGUGUGUGUGUGUGAAUAGGUUUUUCACAUUCUGCACUGAGCAUGUGUUCUUUUUAUAAUUAGAUGAUAUAUUUUGAUGACAUAUUAUUCCUUAAAUAAACACAUGGCUUACAUUGGGAUUUUUUUUUUAAUUAAACAUCCAGAAACUAAGGCUUCUGCAUCACCUAGGUUCUAAAGGUAAAUUUCUAAGUCCGUUUUUUCUCUGGAGAUUUUCUCCUCAGCAGAAGCACAUUCCUUAGUCUCUUUUCCACAUAACAUGUCUAAGCAGGCGGCUUUAACAUAGAAGAAAACCACAAUACAGGGCUAGGGAACUCCCCCCGCCCACUCCGACCCACCCCACUCCCAGGAGUGGCAGCUGCAGAGCCCCCCGAAAACCUGCAGGGGGCCUCAGACACCCAGCAGGUCUGAUCCUCCCCAGGAGCCCUUUCCUCUCCUUCAGACAUAGCUAAAACCAGCUCUGCCGGCUGACUGUGGAAGUGUCAGGCAACGAGUUUUGUCACAUAUUUACCCUGAUCCUUGACCCCCACAGCAGCAAAUGCAAAUUGCUAUUUAUUCAAACUGCCACUUGAUUAUGUUGAAACCCAGUUGCUGAACCCAGAGAGAACAGUCUUUAUGGUGGGUAGGAACUUCCUGUCAAGGACAGUUAAUUUUAAUUUUUCCACUGAGCUCAACCUCAAAGUGAGGUUGAUUGCUACUCAGCAAGAUGGCCUGCAUUAGUGGAAGCUUUAAUUGAGCGCAGAUCUAUGUCCCAAAAGCAUAAUGUUUGUUGUAUACAUACUUUGGGACAAGAAGAAAAAUGAAAAACAGUUCUUUCUGAGGAAAAAUUGAAAGCAGAAUGUGGUCCAUAGUCAGGAUGGCAGCACCAAAGACCAGCUGGGGGACUUGGGGGAACACUCCACCAUCCCAUGGCUCAGUUCCAAUGGGCUCUUUGCAAAUGUCUCUAAAAGCUCAGUGUCUGCAUUUAGGUCUCUCUUUCCCAAAUACUGGACUCCAUCAUGGUUCUUCUCAUGACCAAUAAAAAGCUCCAGGAAAAGAGCAACAGAUCAGGGGCUCUUGGCCAAGGGGCCAUGGCAUAUGUUUCCUGCUGCAACAAGGCUCCUUUUGGCCCGAGGUAUUGAUCAGUAUUGACAUUCAAUAUGGUGCCGCUGUCUACAUCCUUUUAUAAGCGACCCUGACAUGAGCCCUCAGCUCGAGCACAAUGCCACUUCUGGCUUCUUAUUGUUAUGGUUCCAGACCCCUGUCAUCUCUUUCCUGAACUGUAGAACUGGUCUUUGCCCUGUUGAUGGGAGAUGUCGUCUUAAAACCUCGUUAGGAUCACCCCUCCCCAAACACGGUCAAAAGCUGUCCUUGAGCCCCCCAAAUACAGAUCUAGGGACUUCCACCCUCCAACCCCACACUCCCUCUCCAGACCUUUCUCUCCCUUCCUCUCACAUGCUAUACUCUGGCCAAAUCAGCUUCCCCCUCCCGGCCCCCUUCCUAGUCCAUCAGCAUGGCCUGCCGUGACCCCACCUGCUCCAACCGCCUUCCUCUCCUGGCUAUACAACAGCCUCCAAAAGAGCUCCCUGCUUCUACUUUCUCCCCUCUCCAACCCAUGUCCACACAUCUCCAGACUGAUUUUAUAAAAAGGAAACAAUGCUCACCGCUUCCUUAAAACCCACCAUAGCAGGGGGUGCAUUCCACCACACUAUCAGUAAAAGGCAGGCUCUCCCCUGGUGGCCUAUGACCGGUGUCCACUAUGACCUGGCCCUGCCUACCUCUCCAACCUCCUCUUGUACCACUAUCCCCUUGCUACUGGAGCCACACAUGCUCACCUUCUCUUCUUAGCACUUGCUGUGUCCUCGGCCUGGAAGAGACACUUUUCCUCCUGCUCUUCCCCUGCCUAGCCCCUCAUCCUUCAGUCUUAGCUUAAUACUACCUCCAGCAAGGCCUUCUCUGACCACCUUACUUAAAGUAGGACCACAGCCCUUUGGCACAGCUCGUACAGCUAACUGAAAUGAUCUUGUUUAUUCAUUUGUUGCUUAUUUGCUCUCCCCAUGAGAAUCUAUGCUUCCGGAGCAACCUUGACUAACCCGUUCACUGUUACAUCGUCAGCACCCAGGACAGUGCCUGGCACACACGGGAUUCUAAAUCAUUAUUUGUGAUUAAUGAUUGAUUACAGGAAGUAAUACACAUUUCCCGAAAGGCCUUCGUUAUCUCCAGCCUCCACCCCUCGGGCUAUGCUACUUCCUUGCCCUUGCCUCCCUCUUCCCCUCUGUCACCAAGCGCUGACAUUUGUAGUAAGGCAAACUCAAAGGGCCCUCACCCCUGAAAGUCCCCCCUGGCCUCUCUAGACAUAAAUAGUUCCCACUGCUUCUGACAACCUACUUCUGCCCUAUAUUCCAAGGCCACCUACUUCAAUGUGACUUUAUUCCUUGUUCCUGGAAAUUCUUGCCUAGAAAGGUAAGGCUAGAAAUCAGAAAAUCAUGGUAGGCUCCAGGAACUUCUUGAAAUCAACUCCAACAAUAGACAACUCAAAUACCUCUCCUCAGAAAAAUGCUUUGCCCAACUAGGCAAUGAUUCACUCAUUAAAGUAAGGGUUCGACACUGUGUUCACUACCUGUGUGUACAUCAAUGUCAAGAAUGUUGCCCAAUCCCAAUCAAUUCUUUGCAUGGAAACAGCAUCUUAAACCAUUCAUUCGAGCCCCAACCCACGAAACCCUAUAAACAUCUGGAAGGUUCAGAGGAGAGGCCUGCUUUAAAGAUGAGAUGAACAGGUCAUUCUGGUGUCCUUUUAGGGGAUAUGAAAUUUAGGGCAUAGUGUCUACACCAGUUCUUCUGUGUUUGGUGAAUGAUGAAAGAAUGAACGGACCAAGGACUAGCUCAUCUACCCCACCCUUCAUUCUCACCCUUCUCAAAGAGGCAGAGCCAGGAACAUACAGCCAAGGGGUCAGUUAGAGCAGGGCUUUGGAUGACAGAAGUCCUUCAUUUCAGUGACUAGGCCUUACUUUGGCACUGACAGCAGAAAACCAAGGGCAGCCCCUGAGAACCCCCCAGAUCCAGGCCAAGGCACCACGCAGCUAACCAGCCUCUCCCCU